rnacentral:tRNA from 1 species
CAGAUAUUAGUUUAUUAAAAAUUUUAAUUUUGGAGAUUAAAGAUAAAUUAUUAUUUAUAUCUGA